GCUUAGAGUUUGAUCCUGGCUCAGGAUGAACGCUGGCGGUAUGCUUAACACAUGCAAGUCGAACGGAGUACAUUGUACUUAGUGGCGGACGGGUGAGUAACGCGUGAGAAUCUGCCUUCAGGAUGGGGAUAACAGUGGGAAACCAAUGCUAAUACCCAAUGAGCCGAGAGGUAAAAAAUUUAUUGCCUGAAGAGGAGCUCGCGUCCGAUUAGUUAGUUGGUGGGGUAAAGGCCUACCAAGGCGGCGAUCGGUAACUGGUCUGAGAGGACGAUCGGUCACACUGGGACUGAGACACGGCCCAGACUCCUACGGGAGGCAGCAGUGGGGAAUUUUCCGCAAUGGGCGCAAGCCUGACGGAGCAAUACCGCGUGAGGGAGGAAGGCCUUUGGGUUGUAAACCUCUUUUCUUAAGGAAGAAGCUCUGACGGUACUUAAGGAAUCAGCAUCGGCUAACUCCGUGCCAGCAGCCGCGGUAAUACGGAGGAUGCAAGCGUUAUCCGGAAUUAUUGGGCGUAAAGCGUCCGUAGGCGGCAUUAUAAGUCUGCUGUCAAAGACCGCAGCUCAACUGCGGAGAGGCAGUGGAGACUGUAAAGCUAGAGUCUGGUAGGGGUAGAGGGAAUUCCCAGUGUAGCGGUGAAAUGCGUAGAGAUUGGGAAGAACACCAGUGGCGAAAGCGCUCUGCUGGGCCAGAACUGACGCUGAGGGACGAAAGCUAGGGGAGCGAAAGGGAUUAGAUACCCCUGUAGUC
rnacentral:rRNA from 1 species